CUGGCGGUGAUUAUUUGCAUUAAACCAAUUGUUCCAACUGAAUUAUCCGGGUUGACAACAGCAUUUAUCGUUAAGUUUCAGCCUUGUAUGAGCCUA
rnacentral:snoRNA from 1 species